rnacentral:misc_RNA from 1 species
AGUAAUCUUCGAACCACGUUAAGAUGAUUAUAUCUCACCGCUUCGUGUAAGGCAGUGUCUUUUUCUGUAUUCAUCUUUCUCAGCAUCUCCCUUACUGCAGCUGCUCCGCGUUCAAGGUCAUCAUGCUGGGCUUCUGCGUGUUCAAUUAGUGCGUCCGCUAUGUCGUCAUGCCCGUAUCUUGCUGCAAAGUGAAGUGAAGUUUCAUCUCUUAUAUUAGCCUGAUCUAACAGCGAUGGACACUUUUGGAGUAUUUCGCACAUGAAUUCGAGUGAUUUUGCCGCAUUUGCUCGUGCACUGAUGUAAAUAUGCAGAACUGUGUUUUUGUUUGGAGUGAGUAGAAGAUCAAGGGGUUGGUCGUAGCCAUUGAAGGAACUGAUAUUGCCUUCUGCUGCAGCCCUGAGCAAAUUGGGAUCCAUGCAUGAGAUAAUUUCGGUUUGCGUUGGGGGAUCAUCGAAAUUCCUAGUCCCUGCAGGAACGACCUGGGAAUUGGAGGAAUCCAUAUUUGCAUAGGUAGAC